rnacentral:misc_RNA from 1 species
UUCCUAGGCAUUCACCAUAGACUCUUAUUACUUUGACCAUAUUUUUAUCUUCCAUCUCUAUUUUGCCAAUUUGUUUAUACAACAUAGAAUAAUAUAUAUCUUUGUUUAAUCCAUGUCAAUAUAUAUUUUAUUUUUUAUAUUAUUUGAAUAAAACAUUCAAAAACAUGAACAUCUAAAAACAUAAAAAAUAAAAUCAAUGUUUAAAGUAUAAAACAAAAACCCUGGCAACAACUUACUCUCCCGCGAACUCGCAGAUAA